rnacentral:rRNA from 1 species
UACGUAGGGUGCGAGCGUUGUCCGGAAUUACUGGGCGUAAAGAGCUCGUAGGUGGUUUGUCGCGUUGUUCGUGAAAACUCACAGCUCAACUGUGGGCGUGCGGGCGAUACGGGCAGACUGGAGUACUGCAGGGGAGACUGGAAUUCCCGGUGUAGCGGUGAAAUGCGCAGAUAUCGGGAGGAACACCAGUAGCGAAGGCGGCACUCUGGGCCGGUACUGACGCUGAGGAGCGAAAGCGUGGGGAGCAAACAGG